AUUCGGGGGCAACCCUGAUGAAAGCGGCGGACUGGUGAGUAACGCGUGGGUGACCUACCUUGAGGAUGGGGAUAGCUGUUAGAAAUAGCAGGUAAUACCGAAUACGUUCACAAUAUUAUGAUUAUGUGAAGAAAGGAGCUACGGCUCCGCCUUGAGAUGGGCCCGCGUCCCAUUAGCUAGUUGGUGAGGUAAAGGCCCACCAAGGCGAAGAUGGGUAGCCGGCCUGAGAGGGUGAACGGCCACACUGGGACUGAGAUACGGCCCAGACUCCUACGGGAGGCAGCAGCUAAGAAUAUUCCACAAUGGACGAAAGUCUGAUGGAGCGACGCCGCGUGGAUGACGAAGGCCGAAAGGUUGUAAAAUCCUUUUGCGGAUGAAGAAUAAGCGGUGGAGGGAAUGCCAUCGUGAUGACGUUAGUCCGCGAAUAAGCCCCGGCUAAUUACGUGCCAGCAGCCGCGGUAACACGUAAGGGGCAAGCGUUGUUCGGAAUUAUUGGGCGUAAAGGGCGCGUAGGCGGCCGCGUAAGUCUGAUGUGAAAACCCCGGGCUCAACCCGGGAACUGCAUUGGAAACUGUGCGGCUUGAGUCACGGAGGGGAAAUCGGAAUUCCUGGUGUAGGGGUGAAAUCUGUAGAUAUCAGGAAGAACACCGGUGGCGAAGGCGGAUUUCCAGCCGAUGACUGACGCUGAGGCGCGAAGGUGCGGGGAGCAAACAGGAUUAGAUACCCUGGUAGUCCGCACUAUAAACGAUGCACACUAGGUGUCGGGACGAGCGUCUCGGCGCCGGAGCGAACGCGAUAAGUGUGCCGCCUGGGGAGUAUGCCCGCAAGGGUGAAACUCAAGGAAUUGACGGAAUCGAAU
rnacentral:rRNA from 1 species